rnacentral:rRNA from 1 species
CGAUACAGGGUGACAGCCCCGUACACAAAAAUGCACAUACUGUGAGCUCGAUGAGUAGGGCGGGACACGUGGUAUCCUGUCUGAAUAUGGGGGGACCAUCCUCCAAGGCUAAAUACUCCUGACUGACCGAUAGUGAACCAGUACCGUGAGGGAAAGGCGAAAAGAACCCCGGCGAGGGGAGUGAAAAAGAACCUGAAACCGUGUACGUACAAGCAGUGGGAGCACAGAGCAAUCUGUGUGACUGCGUACCUUUUGUAUAAUGGGUCAGCGACUUAUAUUCUGUAGCAAGGUUAACCGAAUAGGGGAGCCGAAGGGAAACCGAGUCUUAACUGGGCGUUAAGUUGCAGGGUAUAGACCCGAAACCCGGUGAUCUAGCCAUGGGCAGGUUGAAGGUUGGGUAACACUAACUGGAGGACCGAACCGACUAAUGUUGAAAAAUUAGCGGAUGACUUGUGGCUGGGGGUGAAAGGCCAAUCAAACCGGGAGAUAGCUGGUUCUCCCCGAAAGCUAUUUAGGUAGCGCCUCGUGAAUUCAUCUCCGGGGGUAGAGCACUGUUUCGGCAAGGGGGUCAUCCCGACUUACCAACCCGAUGCAAACUGCGAAUACCGGAGAAUGUUAUCACGGGAGACACACGGCGGGUGCUAACGUCCGUCGUGAAGAGGGAAACAACCCAGACCGCCAGCUAAGGUCCCAAAGUCAUGGUUAAGUGGGAAACGAUGUGGGAAGGCCCAGACAGCCAGGAUGUUGGCUUAGAAGCAGCCAUCAUUUAAAGAAAGCGUAAUAGCUCACUGGUCGAGUCGGCCUGCGCGGAAGAUGUAACGGGGCUAAACCAUGCACCGAAGCUGCGGCAGCGACGCUGAUGCGUUGUUGGGUAGGGGAGCGUUCUGUAAGCCUGUGAAGGUGUGCUGUGAGGCAUGCUGGAGGUAUCAGAAGUGCGAAUGCUGACAUAAGUAACGAUAAAGCGGGUGAAAAGCCCGCUCGCCGGAAGACCAAGGGUUCCUGUCCAACGUUAAUCGGGGCAGGGUGAGUCGACCCCUAAGGCGAGGCCGAAAGGCGUAGUCGAUGGGAAACAGGUUAAUAUUCCUGUACUUGGUGUUACUGCGAAGGGGGGACGGAGAAGGCUAUGUUGGCCGGGCGACGGUUGUCCCGGUUUAAGCGUGUAGGCUGGUUUUCCAGGAAAAUCCGGAAAAUCAAGGCUGAGGCGUGAUGACGAGGCACUACGGUGCUGAAGCAACAAAUGCCCUGCUUCCAGGAAAAGCCUCUAAGCAUCAGGUAACAUCAAAUCGUACCCCAAACCGACACAGGUGGUCAGGUAGAGAAUACCAAGGCGCUUGAGAGAACUCGGGUGAAGGAACUAGGCAAAAUGGUGCCGUAACUUCGGGAGAAGGCACGCUGAUAUGUAGGUGAAGUCCCUCGCGGAUGGAGCUGAAAUCAGUCGAAGAUACCAGCUGGCUGCAACUGUUUAUUAAAAACACAGCACUGUGCAAACACGAAAGUGGACGUAUACGGUGUGACGCCUGCCCGGUGCCGGAAGGUUAAUUGAUGGGGUCAGCGCAAGCGAAGCUCUUGAUCGAAGCCCCGGUAAACGGCGGCCGUAACUAUAACGGUCCUAAGGUAGCGAAAUUCCUUGUCGGGUAAGUUCCGACCUGCACGAAUGGCGUAAUGAUGGCCAGGCUGUCUCCACCCGAGACUCAGUGAAAUUGAACUCGCUGUGAAGAUGCAGUGUACCCGCGGCAAGACGGAAAGACCCCGUGAACCUUUACUAUAGCUUGACACUGAACAUUGAGCCUUGAUGUGUAGGAUAGGUGGGAGGCUUUGAAGUGUGG